rnacentral:rRNA from 1 species
AUUGAACGCUGGCGGCAUGCCUUACACAUGCAAGUCGAACGGCAGCACGGGUGCUUGCACCUGGUGGCGAGUGGCGAACGGGUGAGUAAUACAUCGGAACAUGUCCUGUAGUGGGGGAUAGCCCGGCGAAAGCCGGAUUAAUACCGCAUACGAUCCACGGAUGAAAGCGGGGGACCUUCGGGCCUCGCGCUAUAGGGUUGUCCGAUGGCUGAUUAGCUAGUUGGUGGGGUAAAGGCCUACCAAGGCGACGAUCAGUAGCUGGUCUGAGAGGACGACCAGCCACACUGGGACUGAGACACGGCCCAGACUCCUACGGGAGGCAGCAGUGGGGAAUUUUGGACAAAGGGCGAAAGCCUGAUCCAGCAAUGCCGCGUGUGUGAAGAAGGCCUUCGGGUUGUAAAGCACUUUUGUUCGGAAAGAAAUCCUUGACUCUAAUACAGUCGGGGGAUGACGGUACCGGAAGAAUAAGCACCGGCUAACUACGUG